rnacentral:rRNA from 1 species
GGAAUUUUGCGCAAUGGGGGAAACCCUGACGCAGCGACGCCGCGUGAAGGAUUGAAGGCCUUCGGGUUGUAAACUUCUGUUAAGUGGGAAGAAAGACCGUUAUUUACAAGAUGACGGGGAUGACGGUACCACUAGAGAAAGCACCGGCUAACUUAGUGCCAGCAGCCGCGGUAAUACGAAGGGUGCAAGCGUUAUUCGGAGUUAUUGGGCGUAAAGAGCGUGUAGGCGGCUUGUUAAGUCAGACGUUAAAUAUCCCAGCCCAACUGGGAAGGUGCAUCCGAAACUGGCAGGCUAGAGUGCAAGAGAGAGAAGUAGAAUUCUCGGAGCAGCGGUAAAAUGCGUAGAUCUCGAGAGGAAUACCGGUUGCGAAGGCGGCUUCUUGGCUUGUAACUGACGCUGAGACGCGAAAGCGUGGGGAGCAAAC